rnacentral:rRNA from 1 species
CAAAAGCGUAUAUUAAAGUUGUUACAGUUAAAAAGCUCGUAGUUGAACCUUGGGCUUGGCUGGCCGGUCCAUCUUUUUUGAUGCGUACUGGACCCAGCCGAGCCUUUCCUUCUGGCUAGCCUUUUGGCGAACCAGGACUUUUACUUUGAAAAAAUUAGAGUGUUCAAAGCAGGCCUUUGCUCGAAUAUAUUAGCAUGGAAUAAUAGAAUAGGACGUUAUGGUUCUAUUUUGUUGGUUUCUAGGACCAUCGUAAUGAUUAAUAGGGACGGUCGGGGGUAUCAGUAUUCAGUUGUCAGAGGUGAAAUUCUUGGAUUUACUGAAGACUAACUACUGCGAAAGCAUUUACCAAGGACGUUUUCAUUAA